ACGGCGGACGGGUGAGUAACGCGUAGGCAACCUGCCUUAUGCAGAGGGAUAGCCAUUGGAAACGAUGAUUAAAACCUCAUAACGCCGGAGAGUCACAUGGUUUUCCGGCCAAAGAUUUAUCGGCAUAAGAUGGGCCAGCGUCUGAUUAGUUAGUUGGUGGGGUAACGGCCUACCAAGGCGACGAUCAGUAGCCGACCUGAGAGGGUGAUCGGCCACAUUGGAACUGAGACACGGUCCAAACUCCUACGGGAGGCAGCAUG
rnacentral:rRNA from 1 species